UCAACUGACGUGGCAGGGCCGAGGGAAAAACGUAGGUUGCAAGGGUGAAUCGGGAGGACGGGGCGUAAAGAGUGCGCAGGGGGGUUUGUAAGCCAGAUGGGAAAUGCCCUAGCUUAACUUGGUAACUGCGUUUGGAACUACAAGACUAGAGUGUGUCAGAGGGGGGUAGAAUUCCACGUGUAGCAGUGAAAUGCGUAGAGAUGUGGAGGAAUACCGAUGGCGAAGGCAGCCCCCUGGGAUAACACUGACGCUCAUGCACGAAAGCGUGGGGAGCAAACAGGAUUAGAUACCCCAGUAGUC
rnacentral:rRNA from 1 species